GAUGAACGCUGGCGGCGUGCCUAAUACAUGCAAGUCGAGUGAACGGACGAGAAGCUUGCUUCUCUGAUGUUAGCGGCGGACGGGUGAGUAACACGUGGAUAACCUACCUAUAAGACUGGGAUAACUUCGGGAAACCGGAGCUAAUACCGGAUGAUAUUUUGAACCGCAUGGUUCAAAAGUGAAAGACGGUCUUGCUGUCACUUAUAGAUGGAUCCGCGCUGCAUUAGCUAGUUGGUAAGGUAACGGCUUACCAAGGCAACGAUGCAUAGCCGACCUGAGAGAGUGAUCGGCCACACUGGAGCUGAGACACGGUCCAGACUCCUACGGGAGGCAGCAGUAGGGAAUCUUCCGCAAAGGGCGAAAGCCUGACGGAGCAACGCCGCGUGAGUGAUGAAGGUCUUCGGAUCGUAAAACUCUGUUAUUAGGGAAGAACAUAUGUGUAAGUAACUGUGCACAUCUUGACGGUACCUAAUCAGAAAGCCACGGCUAACUACGUG
rnacentral:rRNA from 1 species